AGUUGUCCGAGCGAAAGAACGGCCAUCGCCUGGGCGCAGGCGCACUGCGCGAGGCGGAAGUGACGGUAAGCUUCCGUCCGACGCGCGGUAGGGUGAGAGGGAAGGGACAACACUUGCGGGGAGGCGUCACGAGCGCACGGAGGCGCUGUGGAGAUUGAGGAACCGCAACAGAGGAGAGAGCAGAGGUUGGACAUGAGCGUCGCCCACUUAGUUACAGCUAGUCCCUUGAGCCACGGCUGGAGCGGCCCUGUCUUUGUGGAGGAGGCCUUGCCACCCUCCCGCCUGCAGAACCGAGAUCUUACCCCCCUGGGAGUCCCACGCUGCCCUCGGGAUCAUUCUUCCCUGAACCUACAAGUUCUGCAGGACCUUGUUCAAGAUGUUAACUCUUAGUUGUGACAGCUUAGUGUCGUAACUUGCCCGGCACCUUCUGUUGGCAAAUGUGAACCCUCAGACCCCAAGAGAGGAAAUAAUUUCUAAGGCAAAUUGGAACAAGCUGAGAUCUCUUCGGGGAUAUAAGAUGGAGAAGACACUUUAUUAGACUCCCUGGUGGCAUGUAGUUCUGGCAACAAACUGAUUACUCUAUCAUAGAAAGUUGAAAGAAAACCUAGCCCAUGACCAGAAGCCCAUACCUGUAAUUCCAGCUACUUGGGAGGCUGAGACAAGAGGACCAAGAGUUCCAGGUCAGCCUCAGCAACUUAUGAGACUCUGUUUAAAAAAAGGGUGGAGGACCAGGCACAAGUACUUAAGUGGUUCGGCAUUUGCCUAGCAUACCAAGCUCCUGUCUUCAAUCCCCAGAUCUGCAAAAAAAAGCCAGGUGAGAUGGCUGUAAUGCCAGCUACUCAGGAGGCUGAGGCAUGAGGACCACAAGU